AGAGUUUGAUCAUGGCUCAGGAUGAACGCUGGCGGCGUGCUUAACACAUGCAAGUCGAACGAACCUUCGGGUUAGUGGCGGACGGGUGAGUAACGCGUGGGAAUCUGCCCUCAGGAGGGGGAUAACGGUUGGAAACGGCCGCUAAUACCCCAUAUGCCGAGAGGUGAAAUGAAUUUCGCCUGAGGAUGAGCCCGCGUCUGAUUAGCUAGUUGGUGAGGUAAGAGCUCACCAAGGCAUCGAUCAGUAGCUGGUCUGAGAGGAUGAUCAGCCACACUGGGACUGAGACACGGCCCAGACUCCUACGGGAGGCAGCAGUGGGGAAUUUUCCGCAAUGGGCGAAAGCCUGACGGAGCAACGCCGCGUGAGGGAUGAAGGCCUCUGGGCUGUAAACCUCUUUUAUCAAGGAAGAAGAUCUGACGGUACUUGAUGAAUAAGCCACGGCUAAUUCCGUGCCAGCAGCCGCGGUAAUACGGGAGUGGCAAGCGUUAUCCGGAAUUAUUGGGCGUAAAGCGUCCGCAGGCGGCCCUACAAGUCUGCUGUUAAAAAGUGGAGCUUAACUCCAUCAUGGCAGUGGAAACUGUUGGGCUUGAGUGUGGUAGGGGCAGAGGGAAUUCCCGGUGUAGCGGUGAAAUGCGUAGAUAUCGGGAAGAACACAAGUGGCGAAGCGCUCUGCUGGGCCAUCACUGACGCUCAUGGACGAAAGCCAGGGGAGCGAAAGGGAUUAGAUACCCCUGUAGUCCUGGCCGUAAACGAUGAACACUAGGUGUCGGGGGAAUCGACCCCUCCGGUGUCGUAGCCAACGCGUUAAGUGUUCCGCCUGGGGAGUACGCACGCAAGUGUGAAACUCAAAGGAAUUGACGGGGGCCCGCACAAGCGGUGGAGUAUGUGGUUUAAUUCGAUGCAACGCGAAGAACCUUACCAGGGUUUGACAUCCUGCGAAUCUCUUGGAAACUUGAGAGUGCCUUCGGGAGCGCAGUGACAGGUGGUGCAUGGCUGUCGUCAGCUCGUGUCGUGAGAUGUUGGGUUAAGUCCCGCAACGAGCGCAACCCACGUCUUUAGUUGCCAGCAUUUAGUUGGGCACUCUAGAGAGACCGCCGGUGAUAAACCGGAGGAAGGUGUGGAUGACGUCAAGUCAUCAUGCCCCUUACAUCCUGGGCUACACACGUACUACAAUGCUACGGACAAAGGGCAGCAAGUUCGCGAGGACAAGCAAAUCCCAUAAACCGUAGCUCAGUUCAGAUCGUAGGCUGCAACUCGCCUACGUGAAGGAGGAAUCGCUAGUAAUCGCAGGUCAGCAUACUGCGGUGAAUACGUUCCCGGGCCUUGUACACACCGCCCGUCACACCAUGGAAGUUGGCCACGCCCGAAGCCGUUACUCCAACCCUUGUGGAGGAGGACGUCGAAGGUGGGGCUGAUGACUGGGGUGAAGUCGUAACAAGGUAACCGUA
rnacentral:rRNA from 1 species